AUUUAUUUGGCUGUGCCAGGUCUUAGUUGCGGCAUGCAGGAUCUUUAGUUGCAGCAUGUGGGCUCUUAGUUACGACAUGUGGGAUCUAGGUCCCUGACCAGGGAUCCAAUCUGGGCCCCCUGCAUUGAGAGUUCGGCGUCUUAACAGCCGGACCACCAGGUUAAGUCCUCUUACAACUUACUUUAAUUUAAAGCUUCCUAAAUUGUUCCUGAUAUCCUUCUUUUCCAAUAUAAUCAGAUUAUACUCUUGCAGUGACACUAACCUUCCUAAGGCUCUUUCUUCCUGUCAUUUUCCCAUAUAGGAACUUGUAAUUCUAUGAAGUCUGAAUUCCUCUAUUGAUUACAAGAUCUAUUCCUAUCCAUCAAAGUCACACUACACCCAAGCAGUACCUUUCAUAUGGUCCAGGGUGUUGAAUCUGAAUUAACUCAUUUUGUCCAUCAGGAAAAGUUAACUUACACCAGCCUAAACUGAGACCUUGAUUUACCUUAAGAAGCAAGGAGGAAAGAAACGUCAGAAGUUAAAAUUCUCUUCUGGGUGAUAUCUGCAUCAGUUCCAGACAUAUUGCUGAUUUUAUUAUG